AAUAUGUUUCCACACAGUGAAAGAUCAAUGAUUAUGGAUGGGACACUGCUGGAUUAUCUGCUGACCCAGAGGCAUUUGCCAAGAACAGGGCUCUUGAGGUGAUUCAUGGAAGAUGGGCUAUGCUAGGAGCACUAGGAUGCAUCACACCAGAAGUACUUGAAAAAUGGGUGAGAGUUGACUUCAAAGAACCAGUUUCGUUCAAAGCAGGAUCACAAAUAUUCUCAGAAGGUGGACUUGACUACUUAGGAAACCCAAACCUUGUUCAUGCACAAAGCAUCUUAGCAUGUUUGUUGAUUGAAUG